CUUCAGUGAGUGGAACCUGAUUGUACCCGCUGGCCAGAUCGAUAGUAGAAAACCAGCGGGCACCAGACAGCGCAUCAAGGCUCUCCUCGAUGCGGGGCAGGGGAAUGGAGUCCUUCCUGGUCUUAGU